CCUGAGUUGUUUUGAGCCACAGUAGAGCCUUGGAUGGUGAAAAGUUUCUGGCUCUAUUAUGGCUUGAAGAAGGACUUAGG
ensembl:miRNA